GAAGCAGCUUGCUGCUUCGCUGACGAGUGGCGGACGGGUGAGUAAUGUCUGGGAAACUGCCUGAUGGAGGGGGAUAACUACUGGAAACGGUAGCUAAUACCGCAUAAUGUCGCAAGACCAAAGAGGGGGACCUUCGGGCCUCUUGCCAUCGGAUGUGCCCAGAUGGGAUUAGCUAGUAGGUGGGGUAACGGCUCACCUAGGCGACGAUCCCUAGCUGGUCUGAGAGGAUGACCAGCCACACUGGAACUGAGACACGGUCCAGACUCCUACGGGAGGCAGCAGUGGGGAAUAUUGCACAAUGGGCGCAAGCCUGAUGCAGCCAUGCCGCGUGUAUGAAGAAGGCCUUCGGGUUGUAAAGUACUUUCAGCGGGGAGGAAGGCGAUAAGGUUAAUAACCUUGUCGAUUGACGUUACCCGCAGAAGAAGCACCGGCUAACUCCGUGCCAGCAGCCGCGGUAAUACGGAGGGUGCAAGCGUUAAUCGGAAUUACUGGGCGUAAAGCGCACGCAGGCGGUCUGUCAAGUCGGAUGUGAAAUCCCCGGGCUCAACCUGGGAACUGCAUUCGAAACUGGCAGGCUAGAGUCUUGUAGAGGGGGGUAGAAUUCCAGGUGUAGCGGUGAAAUGCGUAGAGAUCUGGAGGAAUACCGGUGG
rnacentral:rRNA from 1 species